rnacentral:rRNA from 1 species
UGUGGUGCCCGUACCGCAAACCGACACAGGUAGUCAAGAUGAGAAUUCUAAGGUGAGCGAGCGAACUCUCGUUAAGGAACUCGGCAAAAUGACCCCGUAACUUCGGGAGAAGGGGUGCUCUUUAGGGUUAACGCCCAGGAGAGCCGCAGUGAAUAGGCCCAAGCGACUGUUUAUCAAAAACACAGGUCUCUGCUAAACCGUAAGGUGAUGUAUAGGGGCUGACGCCUGCCCGGUGCUGGAAGGUUAAGAGGAGUGGUUAGCUUCUGCGAAGCUACGAAUCGAAGCCCCAGUAAACGGCGGCCGUAACUAUAACGGUCCUAAGGUAGCGAAAUUCCUUGUCGGGUAAGUUCCGACCCGCACGAAAGGCGUAACGAUUUGGGCACUGUCUCAACGAGAGACUCGGUGAAAUCAUAGUACCUGUGAAGAUGCAGGUUACCCGCGACAGGACGGAAAGACCCCGUGGAGCUUUACUGUAGUCUGAUAUUGAAAUUCGGCACAGCUUGUACAGGAUAGGUAGGAGCCUGAGAUACGUGAGCGCUAGCUUACGUGGAGGCGUUGGUGGGAUACUACCCUCGCUGUGUUGGAUUUCUAACCCGCACCAUUUAUCAUGGUGGGAGACAGUGUCAGAUGGGCAGUUUGACUGGGGCGGUCGCCUCCUAAAGAGUAACGGAGGCGCUCAAAGGUUUCCUCAGAAUGGUUGGAAAUCAUUCAUAGAGUGUAAAGGCAUAAGGAAGCUUGACUGCGAGACUUACAAGUCGAGCAGGGUCGAAAGACGGACUUAGUGAUCCGGUGGUUCCGCAUGGAAGGGCCAUCGCUCAACGGAUAAAAGCUACCCCGGGGAUAACAGGCUUAUCUCCCCCAAGAGUUCACAUCGACGGGGAGGUUUGGCACCUCGAUGUCGGCUCAUCGCAUCCUGGGGCUGUAGUCGGUCC